GCUGGAGGAUCAAGAAGGCUGAGUCUGAUAAAGCCAGACUUUGCUGAUACACUCCUCCUAGAGGAAGGGGUGGAAAGAGCAGCCCUCACCAAAGAGAGCCACAGGGCUGAUUGUACUGCCCGACAUUU